AGCAGUCGCCGCGGGAAUACAGAGGGUGCGAGCGUUAAUCGGAUUUACUGGGCGUAAAGCGUGCGUAGGCGGCUUCUUAAGUCGGAUGUGAAAUCCCUGAGCUUAACUUAGGAAUUGCAUUCGAUACUGGGAAGCUAGAGUGUGGGAGAGGAUGGUAGAAUUCCAGGUGUAGCGGUGAAAUGCGUAGAGAUCUGGAGGAAUACCGAUGGCGAAGGCAGCCAUCUGGCCUAACACUGACGCUGAGGUACGAAAGCAUGGGGAGCAAACAGGAUUAGAUACCCCCGUAGUCCCUGUCUCUUAUAC
rnacentral:rRNA from 1 species